rnacentral:sRNA from 1 species
AGUUCCUAGGCCAGCCUGUCACGUGGGAGGGAGGCUCGGAGCUCAGGAAGCAUGGCACUCUGGCGGGCAUACCAGCGGGCCCUGGCUGCUCACCCGUGGAAAGUACAGGUCCUGACAGCUGACUUCUGGGGAGGAAGGCAGCACUGCUGGCCCCAUGCCAGUAGCUAUACCUGCCGACCCAGGCCUCCUGGACUGAAGGACAUGCUUCCUGCUCCUCACUCCAAGAAGCCACUUCUUGCCCCUCUGCCUUCUGCGCAUGAAACUCAAAAGCCACAAAAGUAAGUAGAGGAACAAAAUAGGAGAAGUAGGGAAUUUACCCCGCUCGUGCCCGGGAAGAGGGUGUGGAAGUUGGGGCUUUUCCACUAGUGGGCAGGAAGUGGUCCCAAAUCGAUCUGCUCAGAGGCAGGCUCCCUUCCCCCUGGCCGCUGGAUCUGUUCGGGAGUGACGGCAUGAGAACUGGCACCUACCCAGGGGCAUGAUGUCACACCUGCGCCGGCAUCUGCUCGCUGGGCUCCACGCCCAGCCUGUCAUUGGGCAUCACUGCCCAGCAGCCCCUAGCCCUGCC